ensembl:lncRNA
CUUCUCGGCAGCAGGCAGCCAGGGAAUCUGUCAGCUCUGUCAUGGAUCCUACAAGAUGUCGAAACAAAAACACGGAACAGAGUUAAAUCUUCCAGAAUGUAGCUGAGGACUUUGGACUAUGGCAGUCUGUGCCAAUGAAGCGAUUUCCGGUGGAAGACUUGGUCCCCUUAGCAUCGGAUCAGCCUCUGAAGGGGUCAGAGAGAAAGGGCAGCUCUGUUCAUGGUGACUCUCUCCAUAUAUGUGACCAAGUACAAAAAGUCUGGUGGCAAUACUCCAUACAUCCUGUCACAAACAAUUUCCAGGAGAAUUCCGGAAGAUCUGAUGCCCCCAACACAGACAUAAAUGCGGGCAGAACACCAAAGCACAUGACGUAAAAGUAAACGAAGGAGAUUGCCAUACGAGGUAAGGGGUUUUACCAGGGCAUUUUCACACCAGCGUGUCCCGGAGUGUUAUAUGCAAGCUCUCAAGGGUAGCUAUUGAUUUGGUCCUGAAAACUCUCUUGAAGGAAAGCCAAGUAUUCACGUAUCUGCUGGUCUUUAGGGGGGGAAACCCCCGUAUAUUUGUUUAUUCAUGUG